UCCUCCAAGGCUAAAUACUCCUGACUGACCGAUAGUGAACCAGUACCGUGAGGGAAAGGCGAAAAGAACCCCGGCGAGGGGAGUGAAAAAGAACCUGAAACCGUGUACGUACAAGCAGUGGGAGCACCCUUUGGGGUGUGACUGCGUACCUUUUGUAUAAUGGGUCAGCGACUUAUAUUCUGUAGCAAGGUUAACCGUAUAGGGGAGCCGGAGGGAAACCGAGUCUUAACCGGGCGUUAAGUUGCAGGGUAUAGACCCGAAA
rnacentral:rRNA from 1 species